rnacentral:rRNA from 1 species
GACGAACGCUGGCGGCGUGCUUAACACAUGCAAGUCGAACGGUGAAGGUGGAGCUUGCUCCGCCGGAUCAGUGGCGAACGGGUGAGUAACACGUGGGCAACCUGCCCCUGACUUCGGGAUAACUCCUCGAAAGAGGUGCUAAUACCGGAUACGAAUCCUGCAGGCAUCUGCGGGAUUGGAAAGUUUUUCGGUCAGGGAUGGGCCCGCGGCCUAUCAGCUUGUUGGUGAGGUAGUGGCUCACCAAGGCGGCGCGGGAUAGCCGGCCUGAGAGGGCGUCGGGCCACACGGGGAGUGCGACGCGGCCCAGACUCCGCCGGGAGGCAGCGGUGGGGAAUAUGGCGAAAUGGGCGAGAGCCUGGCGCAGCAAAGCGGCGGGGGGAAUGACGCCGUUCGGGUUGUAAACCGUUUUUAGCAGGGAAGAGGCGAAAUUGACGGUACCUGGAGAAGAAGCACCGGCGAACUACGUGCCAGCAGCCGCCGUAA